rnacentral:rRNA from 1 species
GACGAACGCUGGCGGCGUGCUUAACACAUGCAAGUCGAACGAAGUGGCGAACGGGUGAGUAACGCGUAUCAACCUGCCCUUCAGAGGGGGAUAACGUCCGGAAACGGGCGCUAAUACCGCAUACUAUCAGAUGAGCCUAGGUCGGAUUAGCCAGUUGGUGGGGUAAAGGCCUACCAAGGCGACGAUCCGUAACUGGUCUGAGAGGAUGACCAGCCACACCGGGACUGAGGCACGGCCCGGACUCCUACGGGAGGCAGCAGUGGGGAAUAUUGCGCAAUGGGGGCAACCCUGACGCAGCCAUGCCGCGUGAAUGAAGAAGGCCUUCGGGUUGUAAAGUGCUUUCGGUGACGAGGCGUUAAUCACAGAAGAAGCACCGGCUAACUCCGUGCCAGCAGCCGCGGUAAUUC